rnacentral:rRNA from 1 species
AUGGAGGCGGCGGAGGACGCGUUCCUGGUGCCGGCGAUCCUGUGGCUGAUACGAGGCAUCCUGGAGAGCCUAACGAUGGGGGGCGAGCUGGACGCGUGGAUCCGCCGGGCUGGGCUGGCCGGCGACGCCGAGGGGCUCAGGUCCGAGAUCAAGAGGGUCAGCACGGCGGUCUCGGCUGCGUCGUCUGUGAGGGAAGGGAGGCCGCCGGUGGCGGCGCUGUCCGAGCCGUCCCUCGCGGCUCUCAGGGAGGCGCUCUACGACGCGGACGACGUGGUGGAUGACCUCGACUACUGCAGACUGCAGCAACGCGUCAUGCAACGAGCUGCUUUACGUGAUGCUAUCGCCGGAUUCAUGCAUGGAGCCGAUGGUGCGUCAACAGGCGGCGAUGUCGAUAUGUCGACGACGAGCAGCAGCAGUGGCAAGCAGAGGCGUCGACGGUUUGAGGUGUCAAAACACUUGGAUCAUUUCAUCACAGGCGAGGUGAAGGAAACACAUAUGGAUCAGCCUGAACAUGCAAGUCACCACCAGCUGCCAAACCCUUCAAGUCGACCACUCAACCGUGGACCGAGAGGACGAACGAGGGAGCUAUCCAGUGCAACGAAUGAAUGGUUGACCGCCCAACCAGCAAGCAUGUUUUGGGCCGGCCCAUGCAAGUCUGGGGAGAUUUUUAUAGGAAAAGCAAUGCUUUUCCGCGAGAAGCACGAUAUGUGCUCCUGCGAGAGAAGCACAGUUGUGCUUUCCCAAUGCUUCCACAAGAAGCACAACUAUGCUUCCAAAGAGGAAAAAAACACAAAUGUGCUUCCUUGA